GUAUAAAGCUUACACGUAUUUUGUAUAAUUUAGGGAAAUAAAAAUAAGCAAACCGAUUAUGAAGAGUAUGAAAAAGAAAGAAGGGUUCAUUUUCAUGGAAGAUGAUGGCGACAACAAUUCAAAGGUUUUGUUUGGACUUGGCGAUUUCUUGUGGAAAAAGGAAUCGAUUUCUCAGUGAUUCUGCGUCUUCAGCUCUUCCAAACUUAGUCACUUUCAACUCUCUGUCCUUCUCUGCUGCCCUCUCGCUGAGCGUCGUUCCCAAUAUCAAAGGAUCGUUGUCACAGAGGGCUCGGGAGAGAUCAAUUCGCUAUGAAUCCGUAAUUUGCAUGGCCAAAAGAUAUGCUCCUGACACUACAAAGAGAAAGAGGUUAAGUAGGAAAAGGGGUGGUGAUCCAGCCAAGAAAAAGAAGACAAGGAGGAAAGGGGGAAAGAAAGAUUUCAAAAUAGUCAGACUCUCCUCGACUGCUAGGACUGGUUUUUUUUAUGCCAAGAAGAAAAGCAGGAAGAUGGCUGAUAAGGUUGAGCUCAAGAAAUAUGACCCUAUUGCAAAUCGCCAUGUUCUGUUCAUUGAAGUCAAGUGAGUCAGAUUGUUCUCUGUGAUGGAUAUAUGUGAUAGAUAGAUACACAGCUGGAUGGAUGGAAGAUAGAAGAAAAGGCAGAGAAAAAGAGGAAAGGUUGAGAGUGGAGUUGGAAAAGUUGGGAGCGCAGCGCAAGGACCGAUGUGAGUUUUUCUAUUCUUCACGCCUGCUCCAUCUUUCAUGCACGUGUUCACACCAAUUAUUUCCCUUCUAAUCUUCUUUGUGGUUAAUUUUAGUUAUGCUACUUUAUAAUAAUACUAAUAAUAAUAUUUCAGGUAA